UACGAAGGGGGCUAGCGUUGUUCGGAAUUACUGGGCGUAAAGCGCGCUCAGGCGGGUCAUCAAGUCAGAGGUGAAAUCCCAGGGCUCAACUCUGGAACUGCCUUUGAAACUGGUGACCUUGAGUACGGGAGAGGUGAGUGGAAUUCCCAGUGUAGAGGUGAAAGUCGUAGAUAUGGGGAAGAACACCGGUGGCGAAGGCAGCUCACUGGCCCGUAACUGACGCUCAGGCGCGAUAGCGUGGGGAUCAAACAGG
rnacentral:rRNA from 1 species